AGCGAACGCUGGCGGCAGGCCUAACACAUGCAAGUCGAACGAACCCUUCGGGGUUAGUGGCGGACGGGUGAGUAACACGUGGGAACGUGCCUUUAGGUUCGGAAUAACUCAGGGAAACUUGUGCUAAUACCGAAUGUGCCCUUCGGGGGAAAGAUUUAUCGCCUUUAGAGCGGCCCGCGUCUGAUUAGCUAGUUGGUGGGGUAAUGGCUCACCAAGGUCACGAUAAGUAGCUGGUCUGAGAGGAUGACCAGCCACAUUGGGACGGAGACACGGCCCAAACUCCUACGGGAGGCAGCAGUGGGGAAUCUUGCGCAAUGGGCGAAAGCCUGACGCAGCCAUGCCGCGUGGAUGAUGAAGGUCUUAGGAUUGUAAAAUCCUUUCACCGGUGAAGAUAAUGACUGUAGCCGGAGAAGAAGCCCCGGCUAACUUCGUGCCAGCAGCCGCAGUAAGAC
rnacentral:rRNA from 1 species